rnacentral:lncRNA from 1 species
UUAGCUGACUUCUUGGAGGUUUCGUGGUGUCAAUUUGACAGAAAUUGAUUAAGGUUAAUAUGGUCAUAUUGUUGUUCUUCUAGACUGUUGCUGUAUUUGAGCUGAAAUUUGAGUUUUAUUGGUUUUCUUGGAGCAAUUCUUUGAAGGAGCUGGAUUUUCGACCAGAGGAGAUUACUCCAUUUUUCACUACUGGUUUUGAGAGUGGUCUUCACCUAAAUUGUGGAUUUGAAGAUUGAUAGGUGAGUUUUGUUAUUGGAAUUGGUUGAUUAAGCUUAAGUGUUGAAAUUUGGGAGUUGUAAUGCAAGUUUUGGUGUUUUUGAUAUUUAGAUCUUUGAAGAAGUUUGGUUGCUGAUUCUGAGUGAUUUCAACUGGU